UACGUAGGUGACCAGCGUUGUCCGGAUUUACUGGGCGUAAAGAGCGCGCAGGCGGUCGUUCAAGUCGAGUGUGAAAGCCCCCGGCUCAACUGGGGAGGGUCAUUCGAUACUGAUCGACUGGAAGGCAGGAGAGGGAAGCGGAAUUCCCGGUGUAGUGGUGAAAUGCGUAGAUAUCGGGAGGAACACCAGUGGCGAAGGCGGCUUCCUGGCCUGUUCUUGACGCUGAGGCGCGAAAGCUAGGGGAGCGAACGGG
rnacentral:rRNA from 1 species